rnacentral:rRNA from 1 species
UACGGAGGGAGCUAGCGUUGUUCGGAAUUACUGGGCGUAAAGCGUACGUAGGCGGUUAUUCAAGUCAGAGGUGAAAGCCCGGGGCUCAACCCCGGAACUGCCUUUGAAACUAGAUAGCUAGAAUCUUGGAGAGGUCAGUGGAAUUCCGAGUGUAGAGGUGAAAUUCGUAGAUAUUCGGAAGAAAACCAGUGGCGAAGGCGACAGACUGGACAAGUAUUGACGCUGAGGUACGAAAGCGUGGGGAGCAAACAGG